rnacentral:lncRNA from 1 species
AUUGAAUCCAGGGCCUUGUGCAUACAAGGCAAGCACUCAACCAACUGAGCUAUAUCCCCAGCACCCAAAAUUUUUUUUGAUACAGGGUCUUGCUGUGUUGCUGAGGCUUAUCUUGAACUAGUGAUCCUCCUACCUCAGCCUACUUGGUACCUGGGAUUACAACCAUGCACCAGCUUAGUGGACAUUUUUGCCAAUAAAUGAUGCUACAUGAUAUGUUCAGAAUAUCAUCUGUAGUUGAAGGAAGAAUCUGAGGUCAUUAUAGGCCUCUCCGUUCUCCAGUGCCAUUAACUUAUGAUUUCAUAAAAUAUAGUAGGGUAAAACUAAACAAUCAAUUGACUUUUAUAGACUGGUUAAGAUUUUUGUCAAUGCCAAACCAAGGUAUAUAACAUAAUUUCUGACUAGAUCACUUGUGUUUUCCCCCACAUUUUUAUUUUUGAGUAAUUUCAAACCUAAAGAAAAGUUGUGAUUUUAGUAUAAUGAACUCCCUUAAAUCCUUCAACGCGUGUGUAUUAAGAAAUGCAUACCGGGCACAGUGGCACAAGCCUGUAAUCUCAGCAGUUCAGAAGGAAGAGGCAGGUGGAUCACAAGUUCAAAUCAGCCUCAGAAAUUAAGCAAGGUCCUAUGAAACUUAGAGAGAUCCUGUCUCAAAAUAAAAUAUAAAAAGGGCUGAGGGUGGGCGCUGGGGUAGAGCACUCACGUGUGAGGCUCUGGGUUCAAUCCUUGGCUCCACAUAAAAAUAAAUAAAUAAAAUGAAGGUAUUGUGUCCAACUACAGCUAAAAAAAGUAUUUUAAAAAAAAUGGGCGGGAGUUUGCUGGGGAUAUGGCACAGUGGUUGAGCUCCUCUGGGUUCAAUCCCUGAUACAAAAGAAAAAAAAAAAAAGAAAUGCAUGGUUUUGGUUUGAUUUAGUUUGGUUUUUCCUGGACCAAUUGAAAUUUAGUUGAAGACAUGUUUCUUUUCCCUUACUUCAUCAUGUGUUUCCUAAAGCUAAGCCUAUUGUUUUAUAUAACUGCAAUAGAACUACAUAUCACACACAGGUAAUUAAAUAGUAAUAGGAUUAUAUUCCAGUAUCACCAAUUGCCUCAAUUUUCAGCACUUCAGCAAAUAACUUUUGUUGUUGUUGCUGUUGUAGUUGGACACAAUACCUUUAUUAUAUUUAUUUAUUUUUAUGUGGUGCUAAGGAUCGAACAGGGCCUUGCACAUGCUAGGCAAGCACUCUACCACUGAGCCACAACCCCAGCCCAGCAAAUAACUUUUCUUGAUAGCCUUUUUAUAGAAUUUUUGGUAAAUAUAUUCAUGCUGUACACAUAAGUGACUAAAAAUGAAACAUGUUUUCUGGCUAAAAGAUCAUUUUUUGUGGGGUGGGGGUAUACUGAGGAUUGAACCCAGGGUCUUUACCACUAAGCUACAUCCCGAGCUCUUUUAUUUUUUUAUUUUGAGACAUGGUCUCACUAAGUUGCUUAGAGUCUCACUGAGUUGCUGGGGCUGACCUUGAAUUUGCAAUCCUCCUGUUUUAGCCUCCUGAGUUGCUGGGAUUACAGUCAUGCACCACCAUGCCUGACAAGACCUUUCAUUUCUUAGCUUCAGUAACUUUUGCCUCUAUUAUCAGUUGUGUUUAUUUAGGCAGACAAUACUUUUUUUCAUGUUUUUUUUUUUCUGCUUUAAAGAGAGACUGCCUCUGAAUGGACCAGUCUUCCUAAGGCACUAGGUUCACUGUAGUCUGAAUAACUCACUUCUACACAUCAGCCCCAUGGUUGAGCCUUUCAGAUAUUCUCAGUAUGUUUACAAGUUGGUGUAUAUCCUCUUUGGGGAUCAGUUAUAUGGGUAACCUAAAGUGUCUGAAGUCUUGUGUCCCACGUGCUACUACCACCAUCCUUGGGUCACAUAAUCUUCUCAGAGUAUUUUCUAUUGGCAGUGAAAUGGGGUAACUACCUGGGUACCCAUUUGAAAAGAUUCUAUUUAAAAAUUUGGCAUUUUGCACGCACGGCAUGUUGGCACACAUCUGGAAUUCCAGCAGCCUAGGAGGCCAAGGCAGGAGAAGCAUAAGUUCAGAGCCAGCCUCAGCAAUUUAGUGAGACCCUAGGCAACUAAUAAAACCCUGUCUCAGAGAAAUAAAAAAGGGCUGGGGAUGUGGCUCAGUGGUUAAGUGCCCCUGAGUUCAAAAUAAAUAACAAUUUGGCAUUUUAAACUGGACAAAUACCUGUGAUCCCAACUACUUGGGAGGCUGAGACAGGAGGCCAGCUUGGUGAACUUAGCAAGCCCCAUCUCAAAA